GACAGAGGGUGCAAACGUUGUUCGGAAUUAAUGGGCGUAAAGCGUGUGUAGGCGGCCUUAUAAGUCGGAUGUGAAAGCCCCGGGCUCAACCCGGGAAGUGCACUCGAUACUGUGAGGCUCGAGUAUCGGAGAGGUUGGUGGAAUUCUCGGUGUAGAGGUGAAAUUCGUAGAUAUCGAGAGGAACACCGGUGGCGAAAGCGGCCAACUGGACGAAUACUGACGCUGAGACACGAAAGCGUGGGGAGCAAACAGG
rnacentral:rRNA from 1 species